AGAUCCUGACACCACUGUGCAUGUGUAACCUGUCACAGAGCACCCAUGUGUCUAUUCAUCACUGCCUGGGAGCAGCACAUCGAUCAAGACUGGACCUGGACUUUCUAUCUCUUCCUGAGAUAGCCAGGAGGAACUCGACCAGCACCGCAUACACCCAUGCACAAACAAAAUAAUGAAGGCUGGUUGCAUUGUUUGAGCAGCACAAGAAGAUUCUCCAACCACUGAGUCAUUCACCUGCUUUGGCUUCAAAACCCGUCUCACAGUAAACAACCUCCCAUCAACCAAGAAAACUUUGCUUGUUUUCCUUGAUAGCAACACAUAGAAACCAGGGAUUGUGUGGCAAGCAGUGAAGCUAUGAAGACAUAAUUACAUAUGAGUCCUUUGUGUAAUUACUAUAAAUAAAUGAAACCCAGGUCAAGAGAACUGGUAGCCUUUAUAUCACCCCAGGAGUAUUGUUAGUGCAAUAAAUACACUUUGUGUUACACAGAGGAUGUUGUUGUUUACUUUUAAUGAACAUGUUGGAAGUGAUUUUUUUAAGGAUGCCCCAGCUGAUCUGCAAGAUUAGUAUUAGGGCCAAUGAACAUGUUUUGAAUGUGGAUAGGAAUACAUAAUGCCUGAUGCUUUUCCUGAACAUUGUUAAUUGUACCACAUUGUUCUCUGGAAAUGCCAGCUGUUAGAAAGGCCUUGUAUUCCUCUGUUAAAAUAUUGUAACCUACUUCGAACACAGGGCAACACA